rnacentral:rRNA from 1 species
UGGGGAAUAUUGCACAAUGGGCGCAAGCCUGAUGCAGCCAUGCCGCGUGUGUGAAGAAGGCCUUCGGUUGUAAAGCACUUCAGCGAGGAGGAAGGUGGUGAGCUUAAUACGCUCAUCAAUUGACGUUACUCGCAGAAGAAGCACCGGCUAACUCCGUGCCAGCAGCCGCGGUAAUACGGAGGGUGCAAGCGUUAAUCGGAAUUACUGGGCGUAAAGCGCACGCAGGCGGUUUGUUAAGUCAGAUGUGAAAUCCCCGGGCUCAACCUGGGAACUGCAUUUGAAACUGGCAAGCUAGAGUCUCGUAGAGGGGGGUAGAAUUCCAGGUGUAGCGGUGAAAUGCGUAGAGAUCUGGAGGAAUACCGGUGGCGAAGGCGGCCCCCUGGACGAAGACUGACGCUCAGGUGCGAAAAGCGUGGGGAGCAAAACAGGAUUAGAUACCCUGGUAGUCCACGCUGUAAAACGAUGUCGAUUUUGGAGGUUGUGCCCUUGAGGCGUGGCUUCCGGAGCUAACGCGUUAAAUCGACCGCCUGGGGAGUACGGCCGCAAGGUUAAAAACUUAAAAUG